CGCCACCCCCGUACCCUCCGUGGCCUCCUCCGUAGCCUCCUCCAUGGCCACCUCCGUAGCCACCUCCAUGGUACUUGGCUUCUCCUUCCUCAUUUGUCUCAACUGUCUUGGCUGCAAUAAAGAUAAAUAAUGUAAUCGCAAUUUUGAAAAUGUAAAGUUUGGACCAAAUUGUGUACAUGCUUUUAGGUUACCGAGUAUUUUAGCCAAACACAUCGUAAUUCUUUUGAAAAUUUGCCUUUUAACGUAUGUGUCAAAUUAUUAUUUUACAGAUAUCUUUAAAAUGGCAAGCCUGUUUAAGCAUUCAUGAUUAAUCAUGACCUAGCUAGAAGCUGGCUUUAUUAGUUCUGAGGCUCAGCAUCUGCAGCCUCACCAGGAUGUCCACCAUGGCCGCCACCCCCGUACCCUCCAUGUCCAUAACCACCAUGGCCGCCACCCCCUCCUCCGUAGCCACCUCCAUGGCGUCCUCCGUAGCGACCUCCAUGGUACUUGGCUUCUCCUUCCUCUUUUGUCUCAACUGUCUUGGCUGCAAUAAAGAUAAAUAGGAUAUGGGCGUUACGAAAAUGUAAUCGCAAUUUUGAAAAUGUAAAGUUUGGACCAAAUUGUGUACACGCUUUUAGGUUACCGAGUAUUUUAGCAAACACAUCGUAAUUCUUCUGAAAAUUUGCCUUUUAACGUAUGUGUCAAUUUAUUAUUUUACAGAUAUCUUUAAAAUGGCUAAUUACUACCAACUAAUAGCUAUUUUAUCAUAGCGAAUCAUAGUUUCUGAAAGUUAAUAAAUAUAAAGAUUUAUUAACAGCAUGUUCAAAAUCUUAUGCACCGAGAUGUACCGAGAAUCUUAAAUCCAUACUUUAUGCUCCGAGAUUGAAUGCACCGAGAAUCUUAUAAAAUAUAGUUUGACUCUAAAAAUGCAGGAAAAGUAAUCCAGUCACAAACGACCAUACUCCAACUCCCACGUUUGGAAAGGCUUGACACUUAGAAUCCAGUUACUGAAAGGAGAGGUGUAUUCAAUCUUUUUAACCACAGCACAGCCAUCUUUGUUAGUACUCCGGCACUUCACAUGUACAACAAAAAUCUUUCUGAAACCUUAAACGCUGUGGUCCUAAAUGCUGAAUUAAAACAUGGCGCAUAUAAAUUAGAAAGAGAAAAAAUGAUGAAAUGUGAAUUGAAGAAUAAAU
rnacentral:lncRNA from 1 species